CAGUAGCCACGGUAAAACGUAGGGCGCAAGCGUUGUCCGGAAUUAUUGGGCGUAAAGAGCUCGUAGGCGGUCUGUCGCGUCUGGUGUGAAAUCCCGAGGCUCAACCUCGGGCUUGCAUCGGGUACGGGCAGACUAGAGUGCGGUAGGGGAGACUGGAAUUCCUGGUGUAGCGGUGGAAUGCGCAGAUAUCAGGAGGAACACCGAUGGCGAAGGCAGGUCUCUGGGCCGCAACUGACGCUGAGGAGCGAAAGCAUGGGGAGCGAACAGGAUUAGAUACCCGCGUAGUCCCUGUCUCUUAUAC
rnacentral:rRNA from 1 species